UACGGAGGGAGCUAGCGUUGUUCGGAAUUACUGGGCGUAAAGCGCGCGUAGGCGGCUUUUUAAGUCAGGGGUGAAAUCCCGGGGCUCAACCCCGGAACUGCCCUUGAAACUGGAUGGCUAGAAUACUGGAGAGGUGAGUGGAAUUCCGAGUGUAGAGGUGAAAUUCGUAGAUAUUCGGAAGAACACCAGUGGCGAAGGCGACUCACUGGACAGUUAUUGACGCUGAGGUGCGAAAGCGUGGGGAGCAAACAGG
rnacentral:rRNA from 1 species